CUCUAGUCUGGAGGUCACCGGUUCGAGUCCAUUGACGGCCAUGGACGGGAUUUCCCAAGGGGCGGUGCACAAUUGGCCGAGCGCCACCCGGAGUGAGUGGGGGCAGUGACCCCAUGGUGGGGCUGCAGAGUGAAAAGAAGCUGACGGCACACGUUUCGGAGGACGCGUGUCUUCGUCUCUCCCGAAUCAGCGCAGGGUUGCAGCAGUGAGCCAUGUUUACAAAUUGGGCAUUUCAAAUUGGAGAGAAAAUGGGGAGUCAACAUCGUUGGAGUGGAGGCAGAGGGAUUGAGCUGGCAGCUGGGACUUAAUUGCAAUUAAACCCCAGGAUUGAGAGGUUUUUGGUAUCCCGUUCAGAACGAGUGAAGGAGAGUUAACUUUUACCGCAGGAAUUGGGGACACUCCGAGGCCAUGGAAGGCCAGGUGAUUAUACAGCGGUAUCGUAGAUACAUACUUUUGCCUGUCAAGGAAUUGGUUCGGGACAUUGGAGGACUUCAUAGUUUGGUUUAGUGGGAACUGUAAUACAUACCUUGCUGCUGCAAAUCUGUGCACUUUAGUUUAGUCGCACACUUGUGUUUUUUAGGAAUUUAUAAUACCUUUAGGAUAUGCAUUGAUAGUAUAGUGGUGAUAUGUUUGAUCCUUUUUAUUGUGCAUGGUUUUAUUGUUUGCAUUUAUUGUAAUAAAGAGAAUAUUUUUA